GGGGUCUGUUUAUAAAAGAGCAUCAACUCGCUUAGGCCAUGACGUUCACCCAUCCCUUCCUCUGGAGCAACCGCUGCCCUGUGAAUAAGAGCCGAUGGAGGAGAUCUCAGCUUCGGUGGUGAUGACAGAACAUGAUUUCGGUUCUGCUCCUAAACCAGGUGCACUGGAUGCUGCUGCUGUAAACAUACAGCAAUUGGAAGAAACAGUCAAGGCGCUGAUGAGAGCUGUCACAGCUGAAAGUGCAUUUUCACAGAUUCUGUGUCUCAGACGCGGACAUCCUUUUUUACACCAGAUUCACGUCAAGAGAUGUUUUUUGUGACUUCUGGGAGG
rnacentral:lncRNA from 1 species